ACAUUGGCCUUCUUGAAGGCCACUCAAACAAUGAUAAACAUCAUG
rfam:Anopheles dirus strain WRAIR2 unplaced genomic scaffold supercont1.2, whole genome shotgun sequence.